GAGCCCAGCCCCGAACGCACGGUGAGCGGCGCGGAGACAAGAGGGCGGAAGUGUGCGCACUCUGGUUUUUAUUUUAGCCUGGACCCGGCGGCGGCGCGACAGCCAAGCCUUCACCUUUGAAGGGGACCCGGGGGCGGCAAGAUGUCAACCUCUGCUGCCUCCCUGCCUCAUCUUGGCCUCCGCUUCUCCCCUUUCCACCGUUGGAACCCAGAGCUCAGGCCGUCCUGGGGACAGAGUUCCCGGCCUCCAUCCCCACCCCAAGCAGAAGCCUGCUGUGAGGAAGGCGAGUGGGAAUGGGACCCCUGGAGGAAAGAGGCCUGGAAGCUGCCUGAAGCCCCCUCCUCAGCCUCCCCGCCUGCUCCUCCAGGACACUUAGCAGCCAGCAUUGUGGUGGAGGAAGGGUCUCCAAGACUCUGGGCACCCCGUAUGAGGGUGUAGUGACUCCCAGACCACACGUUCCUCCUCUUCCCAGGGCCACCCGGAAAGGCUCUCCUCACCAGGACAUGUCUGUCUCAGUAGUUGGACAACAGUGACAUUGGUGAAGACGACGUCACGUUUCGACAUGGCCUAAGGUCUCAUGGCCUGGCUGCCUUGGGCCCCUCCGAGAUGGUAUUGAGGGGAGUGUGCUGGAGGUUGAGUCCAGGUCCCAUAUGCUAACCUUGUGAAUGCCGUGGAGCCACACCCCAGCGUACACACUCCUUAAUUAAAAAAAAAAUACAUGACAUGCCAGGCACAUGCCUUUAAUACCAGCACUCAAGAGGCAAAGGGUCACCCUGAAGGGCUCUCCUCACCAGGGCAUGGCUGCCUCAGUAGCUGGACAACAGUGACAUUGGUGAGGACGACGUCACGUUUCGACAUGGCCUAAGGUCUCAUGGCCUGGCUGCCUUGGGCCCCUCCGAGAUGGUAUUGAGGGGAAUGCUGGAGAUCGAAUCCAGGUUCUCAAACAGGCUAAGCAUGUGCUCUUCCGUGGACCCACGCCCCAGCCCACACAUACCUUGUGCUAUGACUGUUGACAACUGCUCCGGACCAUCUGUGCUGCUGAAGAAAUGGAGCCAGACCACGUGUGGACAGAAGCUUGGCACAGAGGUUCAAUCUGUCAAAAAUGCCAUGUCAACAAUCUCAGCUCUUGGGAGGCUGAUGCAGGAGGAUUUCUGUGAAUUUGAGGCUGACCUGGACUACAUAGGGAAACCCUGUAUCAAAGCAAACAAAGAAAGGGCUGGAGAGCUGGCUCACUGGCUAA